CUGCACAGGGUAACUGCCAGCCCUUAGCCGCGGGUCCACCCUGGGGGCCGGGAGAGCUCCAGGCACCCACCUCCUCGGCACCACGCACACGUCAGGCCGUCGCUCGGUCAUCCAUGCACUGCGUCUCCCAGCGCUGGCCGAGCUGAGAAGGGUACGGAGACAGAAAGGCACGAAUGCUGGCAGCCGUCGCCCGGGCCAGGCACUCCGGAGCCCAAUGCCUAAGGGUCCGGAAUGGGAGAUACACAGCAAACCUCGUGAACAGGCUCGUCAGACCUCGGUGCAGGAGAAAGCCCAGGAUCGAAGCUGCUCCCCCACGACCCGCCAGAGGAUGCGAAGGAACGAAGCUCCCAGACCACUCUCUUCCGUGUGACCUGUCUGAAAUAAUGUCACGUGCUGUGGCCUGAGCACCUGCUCCCUCCUAAAUUUCAGUCAGACUCACGUCGUGGCCCUCGCAUCCCUGAGUGUGCAGGUUAGCUGCAAGGACAUGGCCCUCGCUGUGCACGCCGCACCCCUACCCAGCCCAGCACCUUCACGUGCCACCCACGCCCACAGCCUGGCAACUCCACCCUCAGCCUGUCUCCGAGUGCGACUGUCCUUGGGACCGCGUGGGACGAGACCACGCCGUGUGUGCUCCCGGCUGGUUUCAUUUAGCGCCGUGUCCUCGAGCCCCAGCCACGCCCGGGCACCCCUUCACUUCUUUAACCCCCAAUGGGGCGGCCACAUAGACCAUGCGGGCUUCGCCUUCCCACUUUGCCAUGCUCCUUAGAGAACGUUCCAGAUCAGUGGACAGAGACAGAACUCAGUGUCACGGCUGGAUGAUAGUUCGUUUCAGGAAGGGCCAGACUUUACCUGACCAGCUGUGUCUGUUACAGACAACACAUGAUCAAUGUCCUUGUGCCCGUGUGCAAAUGUAUAGCAGGGCACCGUCCUCCAGGGAGACCUGCUGUCCUAGGUCUUGGGCAUUGGCUGGGUUGUCAGGGAAGUUAGAAUGUGAUCCUUUCGGGAUCUGUGGC